rnacentral:rRNA from 1 species
UACGGGGGGGGCAAGCGUUGUUCGGAAUUACUGGGCGUAAAGGGCUCGUAGGCGGCCAACUAAGUCAGACGUGAAAUCCCCCGGCUUAACCGGGGAACCGCAUCUGAUACUGGAUGGCUUGAGUUCGGGAGAGGGAUGCGGAAUUCCAGGUGUAGCGGUGAAAUGCGUAGAUAUCUGGAGGAACACCGGUGGCGAAGGCGGCAUCCUGGACCGACACUGACGCUGAGGAGCGAAAGCCAGGGGAGCAAACGGG